GCUUAACACAUGCAAGUCGAGGGGCAGCAUGGUCUUAGCUUGCUAAGGCCGAUGGCGACCGGCGCACGGGUGAGUAACGCGUAUCCAACCUGCCUUACACUCUUGGACAGCCUUCUGAAAGGGAGAUUAAUACAAGAUGUUAUCAUGAGUAAGCAUUUUCGCAUGAUUAAAGGUUUACCGGUGUAAGAUGGGGAUGCGUUCCAUUAGAUAGUAGGCGGGGUAACGGCCCACCUAGUCUUCGAUGGAUAGGGGUUCUGAGAGGAAGGUCCCCCACAUUGGAACUGAGACACGGUCCAAACUCCUACGGGAGGCAGCAGUGAGGAAUAUUGGUCAAUGGACGAGAGUCUGAACCAGCCAAGUAGCGUGAAGGAUGAAGGUUCUAUGGAUUGUAAACUUCUUUUAUACGGGAAUAAACGGAUCCACGUGUGGAUUUUUGCAUGUACCGUAUGAAUAAGGAUCGGCUAACUCCGUGCCAGCAGCCGCGGUAAUACGGAGGAUCCGAGCGUUAUCCGGAUUUAUUGGGUUUAAAGGGAGCGUAGAUGGGUUGUUAAGUCAGUUGUGAAAGUUUGCGGCUCAACCGUAAAAUUGCAAUUGAUACUGGCAGUCUUGAGUACAGUUGAGGUAGGCGGAAUUCGUGGUGUAGCGGUGAAAUGCUUAGAUAUCACGAAGAACUCCGAUUGCGAAGGCAGCUUACUAACCUGUAACUGACAUUGAUGCUCGAAAGUGUGGGUAUCAAACAGGAUUAGAUACCCUGGUAGUCCACACGGUAAACGAUGAAUACUCGCUGUAGGCGAUAUACAGUCUGCGGCCAAGCGAAAGCAUUAAGUAUUCCACCUGGGGAGUACGCCGGCAACGGUGAAAACUCAAAGGAAUUGACGGGGGCCCGCACAAGCGGAGGAACAUGUGGUUUAAUUCGAUGAUACGCGAGGAACUUUACCCGGGCUUAAAUUGCAUCCGAAUAUGGCGGAAACGCUAUAGCUAGCAAUAGCGGUUGUGAAGGUGCUGCAUGGUUGUCGUCAGCUCGUGCCGUGAGGUGUCGGCUUAAGUGCCAUAACGAGCGCAACCCUUGCCGAUAGUUACUAACAGGUUAUGCUGAGGAGUCUGUCGGGACUGCCAUCGUAAGAUGUGAGGAAGGUGGGGAUGACGUCAAAUCAGCACGGCCCUUACGUCCGGGGCUACACACGUGUUACAAUGGGGGGUACAGAGGGCUGCUACCACGCAAGUGGAUGCCAAUCCCAAAAACCUCUCUCAGUUCGGAUUGAAGUCUGCAACCCGACUUCAUGAAGCUGGAUUCGUUAGUAAUCGCGCAUCAGCCACGGCGCGGUGAAUACGUUCCCGGGCCUUGUACACACCGCCCGUCAAGCCAUGGGAGCCGGGGGUACCUGAAGUGCGUAACCGCAAGGAGCGCCCUAGGGUAAAACUGGUGACUGGGGCUAAGUCGU
rnacentral:rRNA from 1 species